AGGAUGAACGCUGGCGGCGUGCUUAACACAUGCAAGUUGCGCGGUGAUCUCAAGAAGUUUCGGUCGGAAAGGGAGAGCAGCAGCGGACGGGUGAGUAAAGCACAAGGACUUGUCCCGAAGAGGGGGACAACUGUGGGAAACCACAGCUAAUACCCCAUAAGCCGAGAGGUGAAAGCAGCGAUGCGCUUUAGGAGAGACUUGUGUCCUAUCAGGUAGUUGGUGAGGUAACGGCUCACCAAGCCGAAGACGGGUAGCCGGACUGAGAGGUUGUACGGCCACAUUGGAACUGAGAGACGGUCCAGACUCCUACGGGAGGCAGCAGUGGGGAAUAUUGGGCAAUGGGGGCAACCCUGACCCAGCGACGCCGCGUGAGGGAAGACAGCCUUCGGGUUGUAAACCUCUGUUGCAGGGGAAGAAGAAAGUGACGGUACCCUGCGAGGAAGCUCCGGCAAACUACGUGCCAGCCGCCGC
rnacentral:rRNA from 1 species